GCCAGUGUGAUGUAGUGGUUUGAGUGCUGGGCUAUUAUUCUGGAGAUCAGGGUUAGAAUCCCUGCUCAGCUA